ensembl:lncRNA
CUCUCUGUGAGGCUUGACACUGGGAAGGAGAGAUUAGAAGAGGAGUAUCUCCACUUAUUCUGCUUGUUUGAAAACAUUCCCCUGCUUUUUCUCUUUCUUUCUCUGUCUCUCUGGUAUGACCCUGUUCAAGAGUGAAUAUCACAGCCUAAGACAUAAAACCAUGACUGGGGAAAUGAGAGCCAGCCGCCCAAAGGCGGGAACCAAGAGAGCCAGCAGUGAGGCCUACAGUCCUGCCAUGCCAGUACAAUCCAACAGACCUCCCUCCCUAAUUUGGAGAAUGGACAGCUGUUAUUAUUUGUUGUUAUUGCCCUCAUCUGUGUUCCUGAUCACUGUCCCAGUUCCUCC